AACCUCACUUAGCUUUGUCGGUAGAGCAUGAGACUCUUAAUCUCAGGGAUGUGGGUUCAAGCCCCACAACCCUGAGAUUA